rnacentral:lncRNA from 1 species
GGGCGGGACGGUUGAAAAAUGGCGGGAGAUUCCGCUCCCCCUCACGGCGGGCGGCGGGACCGACCCCGCGCGCGCGCCCCGACCCUGCCGCCCCGCCCCACAACUCCCACCCCCCACGCCGCGGUGCCGACAGUCUAUUGGCGGGACGCCCGAGUCGCCAGCUGCGGAUUGGCCGCACGGCCGGUCGAUCGCGCCGCCGCGCCCCACCCCGCCGGCUCGGCGGGGUGAGAGGUCACGUUAUGUAAGUAGCGGCGCACUGCGCGGCUCCAUUUUGUGGCCCCCCGUUAUUCGCCCUCCCCACUGUCUCGUGACGGCCAACCACAGCGCACUCCGCCCCCUCCAGUCCCGCGGCCACCAAUCAGAGCGCGUUCUGGCCACCGCCUCUUCUCGCGCCUAUCCGGCUACCGCGGCGGGGCGCGCGCUGGGCUUUGUCCUCCGCGUCUAGCGCGGGGCAUUGUGGGGUUGUAGGGGUGUCUAUGGCGGGCGCAGCUGCCCUCUUAGGAAGGCCCGGGCCGGGUCCAGCCGUGCGAGCUCUCAGCGUCUCCUCGGCGCUGAGUCCCUCCGCUCCGCAGGGAAGCGGAGCGGCGGCUCCGGUGGGCUGGCCUCCGGGGCAGAUGAGGAGGAAGAGGAGAGGAAGGGAGCCGCGGCCUGACGGCUGUGGGGGAAGUGGGGAAGGAAGCCCAGCCAUCCCGUGGGUGCUGCUCCUGGGAAUGGAGGAAAACAAAAAUUUCGAGAGGUGUGGGGAGGUUGAUGCAUCAAGCCCUGCCUGCCUGCCUCUCUCAGGAAACCUCAGAGGUGAAGGUUCGGAUUUAGACUGGAUAUUAGGAAAAAAUUCUUUCCUGUGA